GUGAAACUGCGAAUGGCUCAUUCAAUCAGUUAUCGUUUAUUUGAUAGUACCUUACUACAUGGAUAACCGUGGUAAUUCUAGAGCUAAUACAUGCUAAAAACCCCGACUUCGGGAGGGGUGUAUUUAUUAGAUAAAAAACCAACGCCCUUCGGGGCUUCUUGGUGAUUCAUAAUAACUUAACGAAUCGCAUGGCCUUGCGCCGGCGAUGGUUCAUUCAAAUUUCUGCCCUAUCAACUUUCGAUGGUAGGAUAGUGGCCUACCAUGGUAUCAACGGGUAACGGGGAAUUAGGGUUCUAUUCCGGAGAGGGAGCCUGAGAAACGGCUACCACAUCCAAGGAAGGCAGCAGGCGCGCAAAUUACCCAAUCCCGACGCGGGGAGGUAGUGACAAUAAAUACUGAUACAGGGCUCUUUUGGGUCUUGUAAUUGGAAUGAGUACAAUUUAAAUCCCUUAACGAGGAACAAUUGGAGGGCAAGUCUGGUGCCAGCAGCCGCGGUAAUUCCAGCUCCAAUAGCGUAUAUUAAAGUUGUUGCAGUUAAAAAGCUCGUAGUUGAACCUUGGGCCUGGCUGGCCGGUCCGCCUCACCGCGUGCACUGGUCCGGCCGGGCCUUUCCUUCUGGGGAGCCGCAUGCCCUUCACUGGGUGUGUCGGGGAACCAGGACUUUUACUUUGAAAAAAUUAGAGUGUUCAAAGCAGGCCUUUGCUCGAAUACAUUAGCAUGGAAUAAUAGAAUAGGACGUGCGGUCCUAUUUUGUUGGUUUCUAGGACCGCCGUAAUGAUUAAUAGGGAUAGUCGGGGGCAUCAGUAUUCAAUUGUCAGAGGUGAAAUUCUUGGAUUUAUUGAAGACUAACUACUGCGAAAGCAUUUGCCAAGGAUGUUUUCAUUAAUCAGUGAACGAAAGUUAGGGGAUCGAAGACGAUCAGAUACCGUCGUAGUCUUAACCGUAAACUAUGCCGACUAGGGAUCGGGCGAUGUUAUCAUUUUGACUCGCUCGGCACCUUACGAGAAAUCAAAGUCU
rnacentral:rRNA from 1 species